UCAGUGCUCUAGUCUCCUCUGCCCUGCCCACUUCCCCCCUGCCCUGCCCAUUUUUUGGUGAUGUAGCUGCUGUGUGGUUCCUGGCAAGUCCCUAACCUUCUCUGUACUUCAAUUUCCUCAUCUUAAGAAUCACCAUCACCACCGCCACCACCGUAAUGGUUAGAUGCCAGAGCAGACAACCGCAGGGAUUCAUCCAUCCCUUGUAACACCUUUAUGAGGUGGCCAUUUCUGAAGCCAAGACGCUGCGUCUUCACCCGCUGAAUGCCAGGAGAGGCCAGAAGCAGGGGAGCAGAGGCUCCAAUCAGAAGAUGGAGCACAACUAUGAAGAGAAGCUGGCGCCCACCUUGACCCUCAUAUACUCCAGAUCCCUCAGCUGGCAGAGGGGAAACUGAGGCCUAGCCAAGAGGACGAUUAAAUCAAGGGACAUCAAGCCGGAUGACAAGGGAAGAGAGUAAAUAAGACACAUUAUCUUCACAGAAGUCUAAUAAGCCUCCGAAGCACAUUCCAUUGGCAAGAACUAACUAUACAUGUGACCCAGUGCAGAUGGAAAGAAGUGGGUCAUCACCAGGUGCCAAGGAAGCAGAGCUGGUGGGCUUUGGUGAGUAGCUGCAGUCUCUGUACAGGGUGGAUACUGAGAGGAAGCUGUAGGAGAUAAAGCAAAGAGAUUUAUCUAGGAGUCCAGUGGAGACCUUCCUUGGACAGCAAAGAGACCAAACCAGUCAGUCCUAAAGGAAAUCAACCCUGAAUAUUCAUUGGAAGGACUGACACUGAAGCUCCAAUACUUUGGCCACCUGAUAUGAAGAACCAACUCAUUGGAAAAUCCCCUGAUGCUGUGAAAGAUUGGGAGCAGGAGGAGAAGGAGGUGACAGAGGAUGAGACAGUUGGAUGGCAUCACCGACUCCAUGGACAUGAGUUUGAGCGAACUCCAGGAGAUAGUGAAGCCUAGGAAGCCUGGCAUGCUGCAGUUCAUAGAGUCACAAAGAGUGGGACAUGACUGAGCAACUGAACAACAACCAGUGGAAAGAAAUUUCAGGAAAAUACCUGUUGCAGCAAGCUUAGAAAGCAAUUUUCAUGUCUCGUGGGUAGAAACCUAGGAGUGGAAUCAUUGGAGUGUAAAUGACAACUUUCUAAGAACCUGUCAAAUUGUUUUCUACAAUGGCUGGACUAUUUUACAUUCCCAUCAACACUCAGAGAUCCAUUGCUCCAUGUCCUUGCCAACACUUGAUAUCAUCAAUCUUUUCCAUUUUAGCUAUUUAUUGCAGGUAUACUGAUAGAGCAUUUGCAUUUCUCUAAUGACUGUUGAUAUUGGGCAUCUUUUCAUAUGUUUAUUUGCAUAGCUCAGUUGGUAAAGAAUCUUCCUGUAAUGCAGGAGACUCCGGUUUGAUUCCUGGGUUGGGAAGAACCUCUGGAGAAGGGAAAGGCUACCCACUCCAGUAUUCUAGGGCUUCCCUUGUGGUUAAGCUGGUAAAGAAUCAGCCUGGAAUGUGGGAGACCUGGGUUUGAUCCCUGGGUUGGGAAGAUCCCCUGGAGAAGGGAAAGGCUACCCACUCCAGUAUUCCGGCCUGGAGAAUUUCAUGGCCUCUAUAUAGUCCAUGGGUUUGCAGAGAGUCGGACACGACUGAGCAACUUUCACUUUCACAUCCUCUUUAGUAAAAUGUGUCUUCAAAUAUUUUGCCCAUUUGGCAAAUCAGGUUCUUUGUCUUAUUUUCAGUUUAUAAGAUUCCUUUUAAUAUCCCAAGUCCUUCAUGAGAUAUAUAUUUUGCAAAUAUUUCCUCCCAGACAGGCUUGUCUUUUCAUUUUCUUAAUGGUGUCUUUCAAAGAACAAAAGCUUUUACCUUUAGAUAUGUGAUUCAUUACUAUUUGUAUGUGAUAUGACAUAAGGAUCAGGUUCAUUUUUUCCACAUGGUUAUCCAUCUUGUCAAUUUCUACCAAAAAAGACUGAUAGAAUUUUUAUUAAGAUUAUUUUGAAUCUGUAGUUUGAUUUGGAAAUGACUGACAUUUAUAUACAUGUAAUUUUAUUUAUUUAUUUUUGGCCGUACUUGGUCUUCGUUGCUGCACGGGCUUUUCUCUAAUUGCGAUGAGUCGGGGCUACACUCUACUUGUGGCUGGGGGGCUUCUCAUUGAGGUAGCUUCUCUUGUUGCAGAGCACGGGCUUUAGGGCGAGUGGGCUUCGGUAGCUGUGGCACAUGGGUUCAGUAGUUGCAGCUCCUGGGCUCUGGAGCACAGACUCAAUAGUUGUGGUACACAAGCUUGGUUGCUCCACGGCGUGUGGAAUCUUCCUGGAUCAGGGAUCGAGCCCGUGUCUCCUGCCUUGGUAGGCAGAUUCUUUACCAUUGAGCCAGCAGGAAAGCCCCUGACUGACAUCUUAUUAUUGAAUUUUCCAAUCCAUUAAAAUGUUAUGACUCUCCAUUCAAUAGCAUUGAACAUUUAGUUUUCAUUUGAUUUUUUUCAAAAAUGUCAAAAUUGUCAGCAAUGUUCUGUAAUUUCAAGGGUGUAGUUGCUACAUAUCUUUGUCAGAGUUAUCCUUAAGUGUUUCAUGCUGUUUUAAAAGUGGUGUUUUAAAAUUUUAGUUUCCAAUUGUUCAUGACUGUUAUAUACAACUAAAUUUGAUAUUUUGUAUUGACCUGUAUCAUACAACAUUGCUAAGCUCAUUUAUUAGUUCUAUUAGCUUUUUUUGUAAA